CUCCGUUUUCCAAACAAUUCGUUUGUAUAUAAUGUCUAAAUUCCAUAGUCUUGUAAGAUUCAAUUCCCAAUCCGCCGGCCAACCACUCCCAACUGUUCAUUGUUCCUCGACGCCGAACGUUUUGAAGAAAAUGAGCUGCGCUUGGGGCUAUCGGGAGGUGGCCGGCGGUAGUGGUGGCAAAAGUGAGAUAGCCAAGAGCAGUGGAAAGAGAGGCUUUUCGGAUACGGAGGUUAACGAAAGAGUCGUCGUAGUCGGUCGUGAUUGAUGUUGAUGUUGUGGCGAAGAUGAAGGAGAAGACCAAUGUUUCAAAGCCACCGGCCAAAUGAGGAUAAUGCAUAACUGGAGCAGGCUUUUGCUAUGUCCAUGAAUAUUCUUGGAUGUGAUGUUUCCAUGGUUGAUGCUGAUAUGCCAGAUGCAACUAAUGAAGACAAGGAGUUGGCUUUGGGUAGGCUCUUUGGUUGUGCGCCUUUGUUAUGUGUUUCUAUACAAAGUAUCAUGCUAAUAAAUGCUUAAUGGCUUACUUCUGGGAUUGACAAAAUUUCACCUGAAUCUCAAAACGCUUUCUACAGUGAGCUGGGGCAUUUAAAGCAGCAUCUCAAUUGGCAACUGCUAUUCCACCUCCUGAUUCUAUAUUGAGCCAUGGUUUGGUUGGUAGAAUGGUGGUAAAAGACAGUGUGGACAUUUAACUUCAUGAUUAUAGAGGAGGCAUGGGAUUUAGACGUCUUUUGAAGAUGUCAUUCAUCAUAUUAACAUCAUCCGAGACUCCCCAAAUAUGAUAGCCAAGCAGCUUCUUCUCCUUUGCAUAAGAAAUUUUGGCUCUAAUUGCCUCAACGUCAUCAAAACCAAUCCAAGUUUUUCCUUUUGUCCAGUAAUUCACCACAUAAGUUGAGUUGUACUUGACAUGAACAUCAGGACCAUAUUGCUCAAUAUAAUUAUUGAUUUCCCUAUAUCUUACUGCUCCGUUUGGCAAUCUAAUGGCUGGUCCCUUUGCUGCUGCACAAAUACCAUUCUCCAUAGGGUUCUUUAGUGUCCAUGCGUAGCCAAAUAGAGGCAAACUCAAAACCAUGUUAUUUGCUAAUAAUCCUCCAUUAAUCCAUUCUCUCAUACAGAGCUACAUGAGCACCUGUAAAGUUAUCAAAUAGAGGUUGAAUAUAAACCUGAGCCAAUUCAAGCGUUGUUGUAUGCUCUCUAUAGGGUAACAGGCCGGAAGGCAGCAUUGGGUAAAGUUAUCAAAUAGAGGUUGAAUAUAAACCUGAGCCAAUUCAAGUGUUGUUGUAUGCUCUCUACAGGGUAAUGGGCCUGGAAGGCAGCAUUGGUGUAUGUUUAACUCUUGCUGUCAAGAGGAGUUGGGACUAAUUAGAGACUGCCGCCUCUAAAACGAUAGCAACUCUCCACUCUUGAAACAGAACUCCUAUAUUGAACACCUCAGAGCUUGAAAAUGGAUAAUGCCAAUCAAAGUCAAGGCCAUGAAAACCGUAAAGUCUGGCUAAUCUUAUCGAGGAAUCAACGAAGGAUAUUCGUUACAAAAAGUCACUUACCAUAAAAGAAGUUGCUGAUUUAUUUGCAUCAUUACCCCCAAUAGAUAGCAGUGUAGUGAGUGAUGACAGUGUGUGUGAAUGUGGAGAAAAUUUCUGCAUCAGUCGGUGAUACUAAGAGCUGGUAGGAGCAUAGCCACAGAUAAGGUGAGUGAAGAGAGAAGAAUUAAUCGCCGAAAUGGGAAGUUCAUUGUCUGUUGAAUGCAAAUAAUAACCAGCCCUGAUCCAAUUAGUUGCGCCAUAGAAGAUUAGAAGAAAAUACAGAAAACAAUGGUGAUAAUCUUGGACUUCAUUUGAAGGUGCUUAAAUUGCGCCACUUGUUAUCUAUCAGGGUCUUUGCUUACCUCA